UUUAAUAUUGCUAUAUUAAGUGCUAAGGUUAAUAUCAGGACGAAGGGUAUUAAUUUUAGAAGAGGGAAUUAGGUGAGAAUCCUAAGCGAUCCGGUCACUGUAUUCAGGGAGUGAACCUUCAUAAUCCAUUGCAUAACCCAUUGUGUGAGAAGGAGAAGGCAAACUAUGAUCUGUAAGUCAGGAAACCUGCUUAAUGUAUGAGAUGCGC
rnacentral:ncRNA from 2 species